GGGAAGGCUGUGGCUUUGUGGUAUAACAUCUACUUGGUGUGUACAAGGUCCCAGGUUCAAUCUCUGGCAUACCCA
rnacentral:tRNA from 1 species